rnacentral:rRNA from 1 species
CUCUGUGACUCCUACGGGAGGCAGCAGUGGGGAAUAUUGCACAAUGGGCGCAAGCCUGAUGCAGCCAUGCCGCGUGUGUGAAGAAGGCCUUCGGGUUGUAAAGCACUUUCAGUUGUGAGGAAGGCGGAGUCGUUAAUAGCUGCAUCGUUUGACGUUAGCGACAGAAGAAGCACCGGCUAACUCCGUGCCAGCAGCCGCGGUAAUACGGAGGUGCGAGCGUUAAUCGGAAUUACUGGGCGUAAAGCGCAUGCAGGUGGUUUGUUAAGUCAGAUGUGAAAGCCCGGGGCUCAACCUCGGAAUUGCAUUUGAAACUGGCAGACUAGAGUACUGUAGAGGGGGUAGAAUUUCAGGUGUAGCGGUGAAAUGCGUAGAGAUCUGAAGGAAUACCGGUGGCGAAGGCGGCCCCCUGGACAGAUACUGACACUCAGAUGCGAAAGCGUGGGGAGCAAACAGGAUUAGAUACCCUGGUAG